rnacentral:lncRNA from 1 species
AUGAUGGGAUUUUCCAGGGUUGUUAUUCUCAGCCUAAGCUGCGGCAGCUGCGAUGGAAAUAAAGUCAAGUACGCUGUGAAGUGCACGGGCCCAGGGAGAUGUGAUUCAGGACGUAUGAUCGUACUUCUCCGUGUGCUGUCAUCAAGCCAAAGCCUGCCUCUUCCACCCCGCGAAGGACAGCACGAGGCGAGCAAGGAGGAAAAGGGAAUAACCGGGCAGAAAGCGCAGAAUCCACGCACGUAUAUAUUUAUUUUCAGACCGCUGGUGGAAGGUCGGCUUGGCCGCGCCGUGUGUCUUUCUCCUUCCAUUCUGCACCACGAGGGCUGUCAGCCGCCAAACUGGGCAACACCAGCACGAAACUGGACCACAGCAGCAGGUAACUGGACCACCACAACACGCAACCGGGAGGCUGGAGCCUGCAGAAAGUCUUGGCCAAAUGAUUUCAGAGCGCUCUGGGGCUGGCACGCAUCCCCAGAUGGCUGCUUUUAAGGGCGGCAGCGAUUCUCUCCAAGCGUCUGCUCAGACAGCCGGCACUGCUCACUGCAGCAAUGGCCACGGGAUCACACCUUUAAAUCAAACGGCUCUCGUCUCUGUGAAAUCUUCAGCUCAGAUGUGGGAUGGGAGGGGGCAGGUUUCUAAUAAAGCUCAGCUGUCUCCCA